rnacentral:rRNA from 1 species
GACGAACGCUGGCGGCGUGCUUAACACAUGCAAGUCGAACGGAAAGGCCCUGCUUUUGUGGGGUGCUCGAGUGGCGAACGGGUGAGUAACACGUGAGUAACCUGCCCUUGACUUUGGGAUAACUUCAGGAGACUGGGGCUAAUACCGGCUAGGAGCUCCUGCUGCAUGGUGGGGGUUGGAAAGUUUCGGCGGUUGGGGAUGGACUCGCGGCUUAUCAGCUUGUUGGUGGGGUAGUGGCUUACCAAGGCUUUGACGGGUAGCCGGCCUGAGGGGGUGACCGGCCACAUUGGGACUGAGAUACGGCCCAGACUCCUACGGGAGGCAGCAGUGGGGAAUAUUGCACAAUGGGCGGAAGCCUGAUGCAGCAACGCCGCGUGCGGGAUGACGGCCUUCGGGUUGUAAACCGCUUUCGCCUGUGACGAAGCGUGAGUGACGGUAAUGGGUAAAGAAGCACCGGCUAACUACGUG